UAUUAAAAAUUUCAUUCAUUUCUACUAUUAAAAAUUGUUGUGAUAGAUAGAAUAACCAAACAGUUAGAUGUGAUGUGCCACAUAUACUUCAAGUUGUAAAAGGCCAGUUUCUAACAUUAAAAAUGGAUGAAAUUUUUAAUA
rfam:Gossypium hirsutum cultivar TM-1 chromosome 21, whole genome shotgun sequence